ACUACCUCCUGCUCCGAACUUUCUCUUGAACUAAUCUUCACAGUGCAGAACUAGCUCAUUGGCUGAGAGCAUCGGAUGAUUUAUAACGGUUUGACUACUUACAAUUGGCAGUGCUUGCUGUGGUGGUUAUGGUGCUUAGAUUUGGAGUAGGAGUGGCGAGUCUCUAGCACAGAAGUGAAGCGUUUUGACAGAGUUUGCUCACUGAGUUUUACUUUAGGUACCUACAAGCAUAUGAG